CUGGCUACCAUGUUAGGAGGACACUCAAGCCGCCCUAUGGAGAGGUCCAUGUGGUGAGAAGUUAAGGCUUCCUGCCAACAAUCAGUGUGGAACUGAGUCCUCUAGCCAACAGCCAUGUGAGUAGCCAUCUUGGAAGCAGGUCUUCCAACCCCAGUUAAGCUUUCAGAUGACUGCAGCGCCAGCCAACAUCUGACUGCAACCUCAUGAGACCUUGAGCCAGAACCACCCAGCUAAGCUGCUCCUAAAUUUCUUAGACCAAGUUUCAUUUUCCCUUUUAAAAGCUCACUGGAUGCGGUGUGGAGAACCGAUUAGACGAAUUUCAGGGUUACCUCCUGUGGGUCUGGAACUGGCCUGAGAUGAGCUGCUGAAGGGACAGAUGUACCUGCACAGAACUGGCCUCUCGUCAAGACUUAAAAGUCUGAAGUGUUACUUUGUAACCAGGAGUCCAAGGGAAUAAUGACAAGAAAAAGAAGUCUGUACGGGCACAUCACAGACCUUUCCACCUGCGGCCAGUUGAAUCCACAUCACACAGGGGAGCGACUGUCCGUGGUUUAGGGAGUAGGAGGCAAAGGGAAG
rnacentral:lncRNA from 1 species